rnacentral:rRNA from 1 species
GGCGGACGGGUGAGUAACACGUGGGAACGUGCCUUUAGGUUCGGAAUAGCUCCUGGAAACGGGUGGUAAUGCCGAAUGUGCCCUUCGGGGGAAAGAUUUAUCGCCUUUAGAGCGGCCCGCGUCUGAUUAGCUUGUUGGUGAGGUAAUGGCUCACCAAGGCUACGAUCAGUAGCUGGUCUGAGAGGAUGACCAGCCACAUUGGGACUGAGACACGGCCCAAACUCCUACGGGAGGCAGCAGUGGGGAAUCUUGCGCAAUGGGCGAAAGCCUGACGCAGCCAUGCCGCGUGGAUGAUGAAGGUCUUAGGAUUGUAAAAUCCUUUCACCGGUGAAGAUAAUGACUGUAGCCGGAGAAGAAGCCCCGGCUAACUUCGUGCCAGCAGCCGCGGUAAUACGAAGGGGGCUAGCGUUGCUCGGAAUUACUGGGCGUAAAGGGAGCGUAGGCGGACAUUUAAGUCAGGGGUGAAAUCCCAGAGCUCAACUCUGGAACUGCCUUUGAUACUGGGUGUCUUGAGUGUGAUAGAGGUAUGUGGAACUCCGAGUGUAGAGGU